GUGCUCGGCCCGCCCGUGUUACGGCCGCCUACCGGCUGCAGAGGAGAAGGGAGGAAAGGGUGGAAUCUCAACACAAGUGGUAGGCAUCUUUGAAAACAAUAAAUAGAUGAAGAAUGGAGAGACCUCAAAAGGAGAGUCUGGGAACCCUAGCCAAAGGGCCUGGCUCUGUCAUCCAGACUGGAAUGCAGUGUUGGAGUCACAGCUCACUGCAGCCUCAACUUCUCAGGCUCAAGUGAACCUCCCACCCCAGCUUCCCAGACCCACAUAUGCUACCAUGUGGCCCUCCCUACUCAACCUCAGUAUAUCUUUACUGAAAAACACAUGCCAAAGAACAACACCCAGAGAGCUGGAAACACUGGAAAAGAUUUCGUGAUGCCCCCAACUUUACUUUAUAGGGAAGUUCUGGAGUUUGGGAGUUGAAAAGCAAGAUGCUGGCAGGUCUACUGUCUGGUGAGGGACUGCUUCCUGGUUUGCAGAUAGCUGACUUUUUGCUGUGUCCUCAUAUGGCAGAGAGCAAAGACAAGAAAAACGAACUCAAGAAUCCCUUUUAUAAGGACACUAAUCCCAUUCACGAGAUCCACCUUCUUUGAAUUGUUUCUAGCUGCACAGAGGAGAAAAAAGAAAGAAUGAAGUGAAAAGACCCAAACAUCCUUGGCUGCCUCAAAGCAGAGGUGACCCAUCGCUUUACUUCUGCUCCUAAUACAUUGAUGUUAAAUAACUACCUACCUGUACCCAGCUAGACACGUUGUAGGUUUCUGUGAAAUACAGGAAAAACAUGUGGAUAAUUGGUUAGCACUAGCUGUCUCUGCCAUACCCUCACAAUCUAACAAACCAAAGGAUAACCAACAACAGAAAGAAAAUAUUCUAUUGUCUUUCUGAAUUUGAUGGCUUCAAACUUCACCUAGUAAUUUCUAUAAGUUAGAAUUAAAUUCCACUGUGUAAAACUUGUUAAUAUUAGUUUCAAUUAUAAGAAAUCUGAAAAAAUAUGACUUUAAAAUACAAAUGCUGCAAAAACUGUUCGGCAUUUUUGUAUGAAGAUAUACUUACCAUAUGACCAUCAAUUCUUAGAUAUUACCCAAGGGAAACAAAAACUUAUGUUCACACAAAACCUUAUGUUCACACAAAACCUUAUGUUCACACAAAAAUGUGAAUGGGAAUAUUUACGGUGGCAAGAAUGGUUAAUUUUGUCAACUGAGCUUGGCUGUGGUACCCAGUUGUUUUGCAAACAUCAGUCUAAAUAUUGCUGUGAAGUUUUUUUUUAGAUGUAAUUAACAUUAAAAUCAGUACACAUUGAAUAAAGAUUAACAUCAAAAUCAGUAGAUUUUUGAGUAAAGCAGAUUACCCCCUGUAAUGUGGUAGGCAUUAUUCAAUCAGUUGGAGGUCCUAGGAGCAAAGACUGAGAUUUCCAGCUGGGAAGGAAUCCUGUCUCUAGACUGCCUUCAGACUCAAGAUUGCAACAUUGACUAAUGGCAGAAUUGUCAGUCUGCCAGACUUGCCAUCAGGGGAUGGCAUCAUCACGUGAGAUGAUUCUUUAAAAUAAAUCUCUCUUUUUUAUUCUCCCUCUUUCCUUCUCUCACAGAGUUUCUUCUCUCCCUCUCUCUCCAUAUACAUACACACACCCUGUUAGCUCUGUUUCCCUGGAGAACCCGGACUGAGCAUAAAUUGCUUAGAAGAAGAAAUGGCCAGAUGUACAAUUGCAUACCAACUCAUUAGUUGGGACCAAAGACUUGACUGAAUGGUCAGGGACUUGGAAGAAACAUUACUGGAAAACUGAUAACAGGGAAGUCUGGAGAAGAGGUAUAUGGAUAGACUUCUAUGAAUGGACCAAAAAUGUCAGAAAAUAAAGUGAAGAUAUUUAUGCCCCUUGUGAAUGUACAGUAAAGAGUGACCUCAGCAUAGGAAAAUUUUAAUCAUUAAAUGGACAGGAUAACCCGUUGUCUUUCCCCACUCACUUUCACUGUAUUCUAUUCUUUUUCAAGGGAGUCACUAGGUCUAACCCAUGGACUCAAUGGAGGAGAUCACAUAAGGGUGUAAAUACCAGGUAGGGGGAUGGAGAUCAUAAGAGUCCUAUCUACUAUGUAGGGUCUGUCUUCCUUGUUUAGACACUGGAGAAAAGGAGUUUCUUAUUAGCACUGCUCACAGUAUUUAGAUGAUAGUUUUGAAAUAAUAAAUGUCUUCUUUAUCUUUGUAUUCCCCUCCUUCAGUAUCCAGUGCAGGUUUAGCAUGUAGGAGAAGUUCAAUUAAUAUUCUUUGAACUGAGCUAAACUGAGAUUCCCUUUGUGAACCCUUCAUUCAAAUUAGCCCUGAAAAGCCACCAUCUCAUGAACACAUCAUAGACUUUUUUUUUCCAUGUUUUUAUUCAUUCUAUUGUCUACUGAGAAUGGCUUUCUCUAAACUCUGCUUUAAAUCCAUUUCAAAUUCUAUUUCCAGUAAAUUUUUAUAGAAUUCUACUGAAAAUCAAUAAUGGUCAUAUUUACAUAUAUUACAUUAUUGUUUUAAUAUUAUUUAGAUCUUCUGCUGACUUUUAGCUUUUCAUACUUUCCUAUCUUCUCAUCUUCUCUACCCGGCUAAAUUGUAAAUGUGCUGAGAACAGAAAUGCUCUUGUGAAAUUCUUUACAUCACUCAAAAAGACGUAUGGUGUAGCAUGUGAUUUUAUGUUUUCAUGGUAAUGGAUUGUAAGGCAUUUUUAAUAUUAAGCAGUAUUAUGAAAACUUAAUGUACUUAUUUUUCCUUAUGGUUAUUAUAAUCCUUUUAAAAUGACAUGGCAUUAUUCAAUAGCAUUUUUCCCUUUAGGGUAAUGUACAUUAAGCCAAUAAAAAUAAUGAAGUUUUAUUGU